GGUGAUUUGGCAGGUGACCCUAUUGAUGAUGGCAGGUGACCCUAUUGAUGAUAGCAGGUGACCCUAUUGAUGAUUUCAGGUGACUAUUGAUGAUGUCAGGUAAUUUGGCAGGUGACCCUAUUGAUGAUAGCAGGUGAUUUGGCAGGUGACCCUAUUGAUGAU